AAAGACCAAUUUUAUUAAUAAAAUGAAGAUGACACAUUACAAAUAGUCAAAAUCUUUGUCCUUGAAGACUUUGAUUCCUGUAAAAUAAGAAGGUACAAUAAGCAAACUUACACAGUAUGCUCAAUUUUAAGAUGUUAGGUAGUAAAGUACUAAUUAAUGGCCUUUUUUCCAAGUACUUUAUCACUUUAUCAGCUGGGCACAGCAUAAUAACCUCAAUUCAAGGUUGGGACAGCUGAGGUAGUUUUAGGAUAGAUCCUGCCUCUGUUCUUCCCAAUGUUUUUUGUGUGCCCAAUUUCUCAGCACACACAUGGCAGCUCCUGCAUCUGGUACCUUCCAGUGUUUAAUAAGUGACGACAAAUACAUCCUAAGAACCUGAUAUACCUGACCAGUCCCCUCCAGCCUGCACAUGAAAUCAAGGGGUUACCUACCUUCCACUUGCAGUUCACUCUUUCCUCAGACCUGAAAAAAUAGAAAAGCCACUUCAUUUUAAUCAAGUUGACAAUUCUUCCCUUCCUGCACAAAAGAAAUUAAGAUCCCUCAGACAGUUCCUUCUGGAACAAAUUUUCCUCUUCUCCCCCAGCCAGCCCCAGUGGGUUCACCUUUUCAGGCUCUGGGGCUGGGACAGGAAGUAAGACAUGUGAUUGUUUCUUCAUGGGGAAAUUAUAUAUAAUUUAGUACCCUUUACAUCUCAGUUUCCUUACCUUAUUUCAGCUCGACCUUGAGUGAAGACAUGCUUAAUUUCCCUGCAAGAUAGACCAGAAAGUAGGGCCAUUUAGAAUUAAAGUUCAUGCUACCCGAAAUCCUUUCACAACUGAUCCAGGGUGAGCUCAUAACUCAGAAAAUACCCUUCUUCACAGCUUUCAGACUGGGGCGGUAUUCAAAUCAUCAUUGGUGAGCAGGCAUUCCACCAGAUCAAAGCAUUACAGUGACACCAAAUUUAUACAUCAAACUACUGCAAGACCAUUUACCUGGCAGGGUUUCUUGGCAUUCUUGGUGCUCUCUAGGCCAGACACCAGAUCUGAAAAAGGAUAGUCAAUGCUUUAAGUCCUACUAUUCUCUUCCAACUAUUCUCAUCUAACCCAUUCUGAGAUAAUUCAGAUUUCCAAGUCUCAACAGCAAUCAUCAGCCGAACGAGAUUCUAUGAAAGUCAUCAUAUAUAGGGUAGCCUUUAGGAACUUUGAAACCCAAUGCUACAUGCAUGAGCACACACUGACAAGACUUACCUCUGAACCAACCAACAAGUAUUUCACUGUUAACAGAACCUGGGGGAAAAAAACAGCAAACUUUUGAAGCAAAAGGUUACAUACAGACACCAACACACCCUCCACUAUUCAGUUUCUCAGGUGUUCAUAUGUUUUCAUUGUCAGUCAUAGUGAGCUAGUUCGAUUCAUCAUAGAAACUGCCUACCUGGACAAGCCCUAUCCAAACCAACAAAUCAACUAACCUCUGAAUGCUGGAAAUUGGUGGCAUACAGCAAUGAACUCCUCCUGAAUCAAGAAAGUCAAUUAGUUAAAAAUUCAGAAAGAGUUAAGUCUUAUCUCAGUCUUUCUGAGGCAGGGUUUGUGUAACCCUGGAACAUAAAGAGACCCACCUGUCUCCCAGGCUUUGAUCAAGGCAUGCAGCACCAUAUCCAGCUAUCUUACUAUUAAUAGUCAGGUAGGAGCAUGCUAAAUAUUAUAUUUAUUGUCCUUUGGUCCCUAUGGAACCAAUUCUCCAGUUUCCCCACUGGCAAAAUACAGCAUAUUCAGCACAUUGUUUCAUUUGGAUUAUCUGUAUUUAGAAUCUAGAAUAAGGAGGCAAAUGGAAUAUGAAAAAAUCGGAAAAUAAAGGAGGGCUUGCUUUGGAAAGUCCACUAGCUAUCUAAACAACUUCAGCUUGCAUUAACAUGAAAAAUGGCCUCACCUUUGGACAAGCCAUCAGGACAACCUGGGAAAGAGUAACAAGCAGUUAAUUUUCAACCAGCAGGAUGGACCAAAACUCCCUUAUGGCCACUGACUGUCAUCAGAACUCUAACAUGCUAUUAUUUCACACCUUCACAGAGCAUCAGUGCACGGAUUCAAAUCAUCUGACAGUGACAAAGCUUUUAAACAGAAGAGUAUUAUGAGCAGCAAUAUGCCGCUUCAAUUUCUCAUUUUUCUACCCUCCAGAGGUGAUAAAGUCAUAGCCUCAUUUGGACAAUUACCUGGGCUCAAUUCAUCCUGGAAUAUAGUUCGAAUUCUUCAGAAUGUUACAGGAUGCUGGACACACAGAAAGAGGCAAUUACUUAACGCGGAUUAUAACCACCCCCGUACCCCAUCCAUCCAUCCACCUAGCCCACUUUUCAGUAGCAAGAUGACAUCACUACAAUUCAGUCAUAUGCUUGUCAUUUACGCUCAUCAUCAAGUGGUCAUCUAAAUUUGAUCCCUUCUCUCAGCGUGCAUAAGCCACGUUUACCCACCUGAACUACCAGCAAAAUGUGCAAUAUUGAUCUAGCCUGGCUCCAAUCUGUAAAGUCCUUUGAUAUUAACCAUAUCUGAGUAAGAGAAAAAAAGAAAAUACUUCAGUACAGUUUUACCUCAAACCAAACCCAUACAUCUGUUGCAGACUGUGCUACUCAGAGAAAUUUUCCUGUUUUCUCCACUACACCAUCAGAAAGAGAGAGUUCAGGUUCUAAAUCAUCCCUGCAGCACAUGUACAACCUCCAGCGAGCAAAACCAAAACACUAGAAGACUUACUGCAAGGAAAGCACACUCCCAUCCUUCCGUAAGCAGUCACGUGCCCCAAUUCUGCAACGGAAUAGUUAACAUUUGGUUACUUAUGUCUUUUUAAGACAAAGCUGGGCGGGCGCGGGAGACUUUAGAUUCAGGGCCGUCUUCCUCAGAGGUACUUUUCCUCAUGGAAAUCAGUACAGGUCUGUGAAAAGGUACUCAUCACAGGAGAUGGCCUUGCACCGCCGCCACCAUUUUGUCCUUCACAACAUUGUUUCGAGGUCUGGAGGACCCCCAGUGUAAUUACUCUGCCUGCGCCCCAGUUACCGGAGCUACAGAACCACGCCUGGGAAACGCUAUGUUCACGCGGACUCUUUUGAAAGAGCCACCAGAAAUAAUUGCUUCUUAAAGAUAAGCCAGGCCCCGUGGCUCACGCUCUUGAUAACAAAAGGCAGGCAGAUCUAAAUGAGAUCGAAGCCAGCCGUGGACACAGCGCAACCCAGGUUGGGUAAGAAAAAAAACUAACUACUAAAGAAGCAACACUUACCGAAGCCAGGGAAAAAUGAGACCGAAACGAGCAACGGACGUCCCUUAAAUACCAUUUCGCAGAGGCCCAUGGGAUUUGGAGGCGGUACUAGGAAGCACGCAGGCGCCCACGUAAACGACGUGCGAGCCGGGGGAAUUCUGGGUUCCGGAUUCCCGCAAAGGCGCGUGAAG
ensembl:lncRNA